GCAGCCGCGGUAAUUCCAGCUCCAAUAGCGUAUAUUAAAGUUGUUGCAGUUAAAAAGCUCGUAGUUGAAUUUCGGGAUCAAUAUAUCGGUCGUGCCAUCGGUAUGUACUGGUAUGAUUGGUUUCUCCUUUCUGACGAAUCAUGAUGUCAUUAAUUUGGUGUUAUGGGAAGUUAGGACUGUUACUUUGAAAAAAUUAGAGUGUUUAAAGCAGGCUUUAGCUUGAAUACAUUAGCAUGGAAUAAUGAAAUAGGACGUUCGAACCUAUUUUGUUGGUUUCUAGGAUCAACGUAAUGAUUAAUAGGGAUAGUUGGGGGCAUUAGUAUUCAAUUGUCAGAGGUGAGAUUCUUGGAUUUAUUGAAGACUAACUACUGCGAAAGCAUUUGCCAAGGAUGUUUUCAUUAAUCAAGAACGAAAGUUAGGGGAUCGAAGACGAUCAGAUACCGUCGUAGUCUUAACCAUAAACUAUGCCGACUAGGGAUCGGAUGAUGUUAAUUUUUUAAUGACUCA
rnacentral:rRNA from 1 species